GCCACCGCAAAAUGAUAGCAUUCCAAAAUUUAUUGGCAUAAGUGGGACAAGAAGUCACAGGAAGCAUUAUUCAGCGAGACUUGGGUCGGUACAGCUUGAAACUUCCAACGUGCCUAUAAUUUAACAACAGUAUCUUUUGCUUCUCUUAAAUCUAUCUGCUUCUGCUUCUGCCUCUGCCUCUUCUGAUUAUCCUUUUUUUUCUCGUUUUUGUUUUUGUUCCUUUUCUUGUUGCCAACCCAUUUCCACUCUGUAAAAGUAUAGCAGAAAUCUAUCGGUAUGGUUGAAUGAUCUUAUGUUGAUACCCACAAAAAAAACAAAAAAAAAAACAAUAUGAUCUUAUGUUGAUACCCACAAAAAAAACUUGAAUGAUCUUAUGUUGAUACCCACAAAAAAAACAAAAAAAAAAACAAUAAUUAUGUUUUCUGGAAGCAUUUUUAAUGUUUCAUGAUUGAUCCCAGUAUGGAGAUACGAGCUUUGCAAAAUAAUAGCCAUGUGAGUUUCAGGUGUGCAGGGAAUGGGAAGCCAAAACCUUUUCAACAAUCAUUCUUUCUUCUGUUUUGAUCUUUUCUCAGUCUUUUUCCCAUUAUAAAGCUCUUUCUUUUACAUUAUCUUCUCG
rnacentral:lncRNA from 1 species